UNUUAAAAGUUCGGGGCUUAACCCCGUGAUGGGAUGGAAACUGCCANUCUAGAGUAUCGGAGAGGAAAGUGGAAUUCNUAGUGUAGCGGUGAAAUGCGUAGAUAUUAGGAAGAACACCAGUGGCGAAGGCGACUUUCUGGACGAAAACUGACGCUGAGGCGCGAAAGCCAGGGGAGCGAACGGGAUUAGAUACCCCGGUAGUCCUGGCCGUAAACGAUGGGUACUAGGUGUAGGAGGUAUCGACCCCUUCUGUGCCGGAGUUAACGCAAUAAGUACCCCGCCUGGGGAGUACGACCGCAAGGUUGAAACUCAAAGGAAUUGACGGGGGCCCGCACAAGCGGUGGAGUAUGUGGUUUAAUUCGACGCAACGCGAAGAACCUUACCAGGUCUUGACAUUGAUGGACAGAACCAGAGAUGGUUUCUCUUCUUCGGAAGCCAGAAAACAGGUGGUGCACGGUUGUCGUCAGCUCGUGUCGUGAGAUGUUGGGUUAAGUCCCGCGACGAGCGCAACCCCUAUCUUAUGUUGCCAGCACGUAAAGGUGAGAACUCAUGAGAGACUGCCGCAGACAAUGCGGAGGAAGGCGGGGAUGACGUCAAAUCAUCAUGCCCCUUAUGACCUGGGCUACACACGUACUACAAUGGGAGUUAAUAGACGGAAGCGAGA
rnacentral:rRNA from 1 species